AGUGAAAAAGGUGUCAAAAGCCAAUUUGGACUUUUCUUCUUAUAAACCCUUAUUAACCUUUAUAAAAAAAUAAAAAAUAAAUAAAAAAAAUUAAUGGUCACAUAUAUGGAAAAUGGUGGCUGGCCAUGUGCUAUUUUAGAGUGGUGUGAACCCAAUUUUAUAAAAUUCAAAUCCCAUUUAAUUAAGAAGUCAAGUGGGCAAGUGGGUAGAAAAGCACUCAAGUGUUUUGUGAUAUUUUGAAGAGUUGUGUGAGCCAUUCUAACCCCCAAAUCCGACCACUCUCCCUCCCUCAUUCACUCUCAUCUGAUUUUUGAAGACUCUCUCAAGUGUUCUCUCCAUUUUCAACCCCAAGAACACCAAAGAAACUUGGAAGCUAAGUCCUGGUCUAGGAAGGGUUUUCCCUAAGGUAAAGUUUCAUUAAUCUAGACUUUUGUCAAGUUUUAAUCAUAGAGUUUCAAAUAGCUAAUUACCUAUGUUGUUGGAGGAAGUUGGUUAGGGUUUUUGAAAGGUUUUGAAGGAGUCAAAGCUUAUAGGAAGGUCCAAACCUUAAGCAAGAACACCAAAGAGUAUUGGCUAAGCAUAACUGGACUGAACGUUGGAGGGUGAAAACUUGCUGAGCGCUAAGGACUCCAAGUAAGUGCAAGGGCAAGGCAGAGCAGUGAGCGCUGGAGUCUUCCUUGCAAAUGUACAUGUGGACCGACCUUUUGGGAAGCCGUUUUAUUUUUGGAAAUGUUGUGUAAUUUUCCUAAACAAGGCUCACUCUACUCUUUAUAAAAUAUGUUUGUAACUAAAUGUUAAGUAUGGCCAUACGACUUUUUAAAAAGUUUUUUUUUAUAUGGGUUUUUGAGACAUUUUGUUAAAUGAAAACAUUUAUAUUUCCGCA